GUGUUCACUUUGGCAGCACAUAUACUAAAACUGGAAUGAUACAGAAAAGAUUAGCAUGGCCCCUGUGCAAAGAUGACACACAAAUUCGUGAAGCAUUCUGUGUUUUU
rnacentral:snRNA from 1 species